rnacentral:rRNA from 18 species
GCUGGUUCUCCGCGAAAUCUAUUUAGGUAGAGCGUCGGAUGAAUACUCUCGGGGGUAGAGCACUGGAUGGGCUAUGGGGUCCCAACGACUUACUGAUCCUAACCAAACUCCGAAUACCCGGAAGUACUAAUUGGCAGACACACUGCGGGUGCUAACGUCCGUAGUGGAGAGGGCAACAACCCUGACCUCCAGUUAAGGUCCCCAAGUCAUGGCUAAGUGGGAAAGGA